GUCACGACUCUCGGCAAUGGAUAUGNCUGUUCUCGCAUGGAAGAAGAGCGCAGMGAAAUGCGAUAUGUGGUGCGAAUUGCAGAAUCCCGCGAAC
rnacentral:rRNA from 1 species